rnacentral:rRNA from 1 species
CCUACGGGGUGCAGCAGUGAGGAAUAUUGGUCAAUGGGCGUAAGCCUGAACCAGCCAAGUCGCGUGCGGGAUGAAGGUUCUAUGGAUCGUAAACCUCUUUUAUAAGGGAAUAAAGUGUGGGACGUGUCCUGUUUUGUAUGUACCUUAUGAAUAAGGAUCGGCUAACUCCGUGCCAGCAGCCGCGGUAAUACGGAGGAUCCGAGCGUUAUCCGGAUUUAUUGGGUUUAAAGGGUGCGUAGGCGGCCUUUUAAGUCAGCGGUGAAAGUCUGUGGCUCAACCAUAGAAUUGCCGUUGAAACUGGGAGGCUUGAGUAUGUUUGAGGCAGGCGGAAUGCGUGGUGUAGCGGUGAAAUGCUUAGAUAUCACGCAGAACCCCGAUUGCGAAGGCAGCCUGCCAAGCCAUGACUGACGCUGAUGCACGAAAGCGUGGGGAUCAAACAGGAGUAGAUACCCCUGUAGUC